rnacentral:rRNA from 1 species
CACACCGCCCGUCACAUCACGAAAGCUGGCUGUACUAGAAGUCGCCGCGCUAACCCGCAAGGGAGGUAAGCGCCUAAGGUAUGGUUAGUGAUUGGGGUG